GCCAGCAUGGCUUAGUGGUUUGAGCACAGGACUACGACUCUGGAGUCCAGGGUUCGAUUCCCAGUUUGGCC